AGCUUUGCGCAGUGGCAGUAUUGUAGCCAAUGAGGUUUAUCCGAGGCGCAAUUAUUGCUAAUUGAAAACUUUCCCUAAACUUGGUGAGUUGGAUCUACAAACAGUUUCUUUUAAAAAAAA
rnacentral:snRNA from 1 species